rnacentral:rRNA from 1 species
UGAGAAUUUGAUCCUGGUUCAGGAUGAACGCUGGCGGCGUGGAUUAGGCAUGCAAGUCGAGCGGGCUUGCCUCCGCAAGGAGGCGAGUCAGCGGCGAACGAGUUAGUAACACGUAGGAACUUGCCUCAAAGACGGGUAUAACCCCGCGAAAGCGGGGCUAAUUCCCGAUAGUCUCCGACCCUCGCAAGAGGCGUCGGAGUAAAGGUGCGCAAGCGCCACUUUGAGAGAGGCCUGCGGGCUAUCAGCUAGUUGGUGAGGUAAUGGCUCACCAAGGCGAUGACGGCUAGGGGGCGUGAGAGCGCGUUCCCCAACGCAAGGGACUGAGACACGGCCCUGACUCCUACGGGAGGCAGCAGUCUAGAAGAUUUCGCAAUGGGGGAAACCCUGACGAAGCGACGCCGCGUGCAGGAAGAAGGCCCUCGGGUUGUAAACUGCUUUUGACAGGGAAGAAGUCCCGCUCAGCGGGACUGACGGUACCUGUAGAAUAAGGCGCUGCUAACUUCGUGCCAGCAGCAGCGGUAAUACGAAGGCGCCAAGCGUUAUCCGGAUUUAUUGGGCGUAAAGAGUUCAAAGGGGGUUGGGUUAGUCCGAUGUUAAAGCUUCCGACUCAAUCGGAAAAAUGCAUUGGAAACGGCCCGACUUGAGAAAAUCAGAGGCAAAUGGAACGGCCGGUGUAGGGGUGAAAUCCGUUGAUAUCGGCCGGAACACCAAAGGCGAAGGCAUUUUGCUGGGAUUUUUCUGACCCUGAAAGAACGAAAGC